rnacentral:rRNA from 1 species
AUGUUCCCGGCUGCUAAACUGCUUCCACAAGCUUCGUUGAUCUCGGACCACUGUCCACUACUGCUCCAGAACGACGAGAUAAUCAAAACAAACAAAAGAUUCAGAUUUGAAGCAUAUUGGCAAUAUGUCCAGGGGUUUAAGGAGGUCGUCCAGCAAUCCUGGGCUCGGCCGGUCAGAGACAGAUCUCCCAUCACAAGUUUUAAUACGAAGCUUUGGCGCCUUAGUAAAGACCUUAGAGCCUGGAGCAAAUCGACCGUGGGCGACAUCCAAAAGCAACUGCACCUGGCCAAUGAAAUUAUCUUGCAGCUGGACACCGCUCAAGAUUUCCGGGCCCUCUCUUCGGACGAGCGCAACCUGCGUUCCAAGCUAAAAUCCAGAACGUUGGGGUUGGCUGUCCUGCUGAAAAUCAAGUUACGACAAAGAAGCAGGGUGCUUUGGCUUAAGGCCGGAGACGCCAAUACUCGUUUCUUUCAGCGAAAAGCAAACGCUAGGCACACUCGCAACACAAUCCACAGCUUGAACGGACCAUUGGGGCCGGUGUCAAGCACCGUGGCCAUGACUGAUUUGGCACAACAGCACUUCACACACAUUUUCGGCGUCGAGCAACGAACCCCUUCUGGCCUCAACUGGGAUGAACUUGGGCUGGAUCACGCGGAUCUCUCGGACAUUGAAGGGACCUUUUCAAUGGAUGAGGUCAAACAAGCG